AUGCAUGGACCUACAAGCUCACCUGCAUCGAUCGGUCUACAUGAAGUCCACCUCAAACAGAUGCAUGUUAUUGUUGUUGUUGCCGCCGCCGCCAUGGUUGCUGGUGUUGUUCUGGUCGGAGACCUCGCCGUUGGCCGCCCCGGCGGAUGGCAACCCACUGGAGCACACCGAGGAGCACGACAGGAUGUUGCUGUUGCCGUUGCCGUCGUUGUUGUUCUGCUGAAGCAGGGAGGUGAUGAAGUGCUGCUGCUCCUGGUGGUGGUGGUGGAGCUGCAUGGCGCUGUUGAGCUGCUGCUGGUGGUCGUCCUUCUCCCGCGGCUCGCCGAGGGUGAGUGUCAUCGGCCUCGCCGCCGCCGCCGCCUUGCUCUGGUCGUGCUGCUGCAGGCAGCUGAUGGCGCUCGUGUUCGAUGA
rnacentral:rRNA from 1 species